rnacentral:rRNA from 1 species
UACGAAGGGGGCUAGCGUUGCUCGGAAUCACUGGGCGUAAAGGGUGCGUAGGCGGGUCUUUAAGUCAGGGGUGAAAUCCUGGAGCUCAACUCCAGAACUGCCUUUGAUACUGAAGAUCUUGAGUUCGGGAGAGGUGAGUGGAACUGCGAGUGUAGAGGUGAAAUUCGUAGAUAUUCGCAAGAACACCAGUGGCGAAGGCAGCUCUCUGGGACGGUACUGACGCUGAGACGCGAAAGCGUGGGGAGCGAACAGGA